CCAGACUCCUACGGGAGGCAGCAGUGAGGAAUAUUGGUCAAUGGCCGCAGGGCUGAACCAGCCAAGUCGCGUGAGGGAUGACGGUCCUAUGGAUUGUAAACCUCUUUUGUCAGGGAGCAAAGGGCGCCACGUGUGGCGUUUUGCGAGUACCUGAAGAAAAAGCAUCGGCUAACUCCGUGCCAGCAGCCGCGGUAAUACGGAGGAUGCGAGCGUUAUCCGGAUUUAUUGGGUUUAAAGGGUGCGCAGGCGGGGGCACAAGGCGGCGGUAAAAUCGCGGGGCUCAACCCCGCUCCGCCGUUGAAACUGUGUCCCUUGAGUGCGCGAAGGGUAGGCGGAAUGCGUGGUGUAGCGGUGAAAUGCAUAGAUAUCACGCAGAACUCCGAUUGCGAAGGCAGCAUACCGGCGCCCGACUGACGCUGAGGCACGAAAGCGUGGGUAUCGAACAGGAUUAGAUACCCGCGUAC
rnacentral:rRNA from 1 species